rnacentral:rRNA from 1 species
UACAGAGGGUGCAAGCGUUGUUCGGAAUUAUUGGGCGUAAAGCGCGUGUAGGCGGCUUUGCAAGUCGGGUGUGAAAUCCCUCAGCUUAACUGAGGAAGUGCGCCCGAAACUGCAGAGCUUGAGUACCGGAGAGGAUGGCGGAAUUCCCCAAGUAGAGGUGAAAUUCGUAGAUAUGGGGAGGAACACCGGUGGCGAAGGCGGCCAUCUGGACGGAUACUGACGCUGAGACGCGAAAGCGUGGGGAGCAAACAGG